AAUGAACGCUGGCGGCAGGCCUAACACAUGCAAGUCGAACGAAGCCUUCGGGCUUAGUGGCGGACGGGUGAGUAACGCGUGGGAACGUGCUCUUUGCUUCGGAAUAGCCUCGGGAAACUGGGAGUAAUACCGAAUGUGCCCUACGGGGGAAAGGUUUAUCGGCAAAGGAUCGGCCCGCGUUGGAUUAGGUAGUUGGUGGGGUAAUGGCCGACCAAGCCUACGAUCCAUAGCUGGUUUUAGAGGAUGAUCAGGCACACUGGGACUGAGAAACGGCCCAGACUCCUACGGGAGGCAGCAGUGGGGAAUCUUAGACAAUGGGCGCAAGCCUGAUCUAGCCAUGCCGCGUGAUCGAUGAAGGCCUUAGGGUUGUAAAGAUCUUUCAGCUGGGAAGAUAAUGACUGUACCAGCAGAAGAAGCCCCGGCUAACUUCGUGCCAGCAGCCGCGGUAACAC
rnacentral:rRNA from 1 species